rnacentral:rRNA from 1 species
UACGGAGGGUGCGAGCGUUGUCCGGAAUCAUUGGGCGUAAAGGGCGCGUAAGUGGCCCGGUCAGUUCGUGGUGAAAGCGCGGGGCUCAACCCUGCGUCGGCCAUGAAUACUGCCGCGGCUGGAGCACUGUAGAGGCAGGCGGAAUUCCGGGUGUAGCGGUGGAAUGCGUAGAGAUCCGGAAGAACACCGGUGGCGAAGGCGGCCUGCUGGGCAGUUGCUGACACUGAGGCGCGACAGCGUGGGGAGCAAACAGG